GCGGAGGAAAAGAAACCAACCGGGAUUGCCUUAGUAACGGCGAGUGAAGCGGCAAAAGCUCAAAUUUGAAAUCUGGUACCUUCGGUGCCCGAGUUGUAAUUUGGAGAGGGCAACUUUGGGGCCGUUCCUUGUCUAUGUUCCUUGGAACAGGACGUCAUAGAGGGUGAGAAUCCCGUGUGGCGAGGAGUGCGGUUCUUUGUAAAGUGCCUUCGAAGAGUCGAGUUGUUUGGGAAUGCAGCUCUAAGUGGGUGGUAAAUUCCAUCUAAAGCUAAAUAUUGGCGAGAGACCGAUAGCGAACAAGUACAGUGAUGGAAAGAUGAAAAGAACUUUGAAAAGAGAGUGAAAAAGUACGUGAAAUUGUUGAAAGGGAAGGGCAUUUGAUCAGACAUGGUGUUUUGUGCCCUCUGCUCCUUGUGGGUAGGGGAAUCUCGCAUUUCACUGGGCCAGCAUCAGUUUUGGUGGCAGGAUAAAUCCAUAGGAAUGUAGCUUG
rnacentral:rRNA from 1 species